rnacentral:rRNA from 1 species
AGUGAAGCGGCAACAGCUCAAAUUUGAAAUCUGGCUCUCGGGCCCGAGUUGUAAUUUGUAGAGGAUACUUUUGAUGCGGUGCCUUCCGAGUUCCCUGGAACGGGACGCCAUAGAGGGUGAGAGCCCCGUCUGGUUGGAUGCCAAAUCUCUGUAAAGUUCCUUCGACGAGUCGAGUAGUUUGGGAAUGCUGCUCUAAAUGGGAGGUAUAUGUCUUCUAAAGCUAAAUACCGGCCAGAGACCGAUAGCGCACAAGUAGAGUGAUCGAAAGAUGAAAAGCACUUUGAAAAGAGAGUUAAAAAGUACGUGAAAUUGUUGAAAGGGAAGCGUUUAUGACCAGACUUGGGCUUGGUUAAUCAUCUGGGGUUCUCCCCAGUGCACUUUUCCAGUCCAGGCCAGCAUCAGUUUUCCCCGGGGGAUAAAGACUUCGGGAAUGUGGCUCUCUUCGGGGAGUGUUAUAGCCCGUUGUGUAAUACCCUGGGGGGACUGGGGUUCGCGCAUCUGCAAGGAUGCUGGCGUAAUGGUCAUCAACGACCCGUCUUGAAACACGGAACCAAGG